rnacentral:lncRNA from 10 species
UGUGAGCACUAUCUCCUAAACCCCUGUCUGAAAGCUGAUUUAGUUCUGACAUCAUCUUCCACUGAAGUAUCAGUGUUGCCGCCAAAAACACCUGGUGUUUGCUUGGCAUCUUUCCCAUCCCAGUCUCAACUUGUCUCAGGCCAGCUUACCUGAGAUCUACGGAGAACCCAGCACGAGCUCAAGUGGAGCUAUACAUGAAACUGAAGGGGUCCAAUACAGGAAUUGCCAAGACUAUGUCAGAUUUCCACAUGAAUCUCUGAAACUGUGAUCGGAUAAUGGAAAUGAAU